rnacentral:rRNA from 1 species
AUUGUUGCUGGCCUUUGGGUAUGUGCACAUCCUCCUCCGAUUUCUAUUCAUCCACCUGUGCACUUUUUGUAGGAGUUCUUUCAUCGGGUUUUUGAAGGUGCUCAUUAUGAGUUACUUGAAAAGACUAGUUGACAAGGCUUCUAUGUUCUUAUAAACCAUUGAAGUAUGUUAUAGAAUGAUCUUGUUAUUGGGACUUUAUUGACCCUUUAAACUUAAUACAACUUUCAGCAACGGAUCUCUUGGCUCUCCCAUCGAUGAAGAACGCAGCGAAAUGCGAUAAGUAAUGUGAAUUGCAGAAUUCAGUGAAUCAUCGAAUCUUUGAACGCACCUUGCGCCCUCUGGUAUUCCGGAGGGCAUGCCUGUUUGAGUGUCAUUAAAUUCUCAACUUUAUAAGUUUUUUACUUAUUAAAGCUUGGAUGUUGGAGGCUUGCAGGCGUUUGUCAGCUCCUCUUAAAUUUAUUAGUGGGAACCCUGUUUUGUUAGUUCUAACCUUGGUGUGAUAAUUAUCUACAUUUUGGUGGAACCUUACAAUAAUAAAGCUCUAUUGGUUUGGGUUGUUGCAUUUAGUUUGCUCAAUCUGUUCUAUUCAUUGGAGAAAAAGGGAAGUUCUGCUUUCUAACUGUCUUGAUUGACUAUAUAUAACUUAUUUGCUUGACCUC